rnacentral:ncRNA from 1 species
AAUUCGAUAGGUGAUGGAGCUCACCGUUUACUUCCUGCAAAGGAUGAUGGCUCCUACGGAUAG